CACGUAGGCACCAAGCGUUGUCCGGAUUUAUUGGGCGUAAAGAGCUCGUAGGCGGUUCGGUAAGUCGGGUGUGAAAACUCUGGGCUCAACCCAGAGACGCCACCCGAUACUGCUGUGACUAGAGUGCGGUAGGGGAGCGGGGAAUUCCUGGUGUAGCGGUGAAAUGCGCAGAUAUCAGGAGGAACACCAAUAGCGAAGGCAGCUCGCUGGGACGGUACUGACGCUAAGGCGCGAAAGCGUGGGGAGCGAACAGG
rnacentral:rRNA from 1 species